CAGAGUUCGUGCCCUCACGGGUAGAUCUCCCACCCUGUGUUAUUAUACCUUUGUUGCUUUGGCGGGCCGCCCUCGGCUACCGGCCCCGGCUGGUACGCGCCCGCCAGAGGACCCCUAAACUCUGAAUGUUAAUGUCGUCUGAGUAUUAUAAAAUAAUUA
rnacentral:misc_RNA from 1 species